rnacentral:rRNA from 1 species
UGGGGAAUAUUGCACAAUGGAGGGAACUCUGAUGCAGCAACGCCGCGUGCGGGAUGACGGCCUUCGGGUUGUAAACCGCUUUCAGCCAAGACGAAGCUUUUGUGACGGUAGUGGUAGAAGAAGCACCGGCUAACUACGUGCCAGCAGCCGCGGUGAUACGUAGGGUGCGAGCGUUGUCCGGAAUUAUUGGGCGUAAAGAGCUUGUAGGCGGUUUGUCGCGUCGAUAGUGUAAACACGCAGCUUAACUGUGUGCCUGCUGUCGAUACGGGCUGACUAGAGGAGGGUAGGGGAGAAUGGAAUUCCCGGUGGAGCGGUGGAAUGCGCAGAUAUCGGGAGGAACACCAGUGGCGAAGGCGGUUCUCUGGACCUUUCCUGACGCUGAGAAGCGAAAGCGUGGGUAGCAAACAGG